rnacentral:lncRNA from 1 species
AAUACAAAUUAAAUACUUAGAAAAGUAGAUAUCUAUCUUUCCGGGGUAGAGUAACCUUGAUCAGAGCAAUUACCUCCAAUAUACUAGCGUAUUAUUUCUCUAUGUAUAGGGCACCAAUGUAUUUGAUCAAAAUAUUGGAAAGAAUGAUGAUGAAUUUUUAUAGAGUGACUUAAGUGAUACAACUAAAUUCAAUUUAAUUAGUUGGGUAAAAGUUUGCUUACCAAAGAAGGAAGGAGGUCACUAUUCAAAGAUUAAGAGUAAUGAAUGCUGUCUUGUUCACAAAAUGGUGGUCGAGGCUCAGUCAAAAUGAAUCCCAA